CCUACGGGUGGCAGCAGUGAGGAAUAUUGGUCAAUGGGCGCAAGCCUGAACCAGCCAUGCCGCGUGCAGGAAGACGGCUCUAUGGGUUGUAAACUGCUUUUGUACGGGGUUAAGCCCCGCUACUUGUCUCUGUCUGCAGGUAUCGUACGAAUAAGGGCCGGCUAACUCCGUGCCAGCAGCCGCGGUAAUCCGGAGGAGCCAAGCGUUAUCCGGAUUUAUUGGGUUUAAAGGGUGCGUAGGCGGUCGGAUAAGUUAGCGGUGAAAUCCCGAGGCUCAACUUCGGAAUUGCAUUUGAUACUGUAAGGCUUGAGUGUAGAUGAGGUAGGCGGAAUGCGUGGUGUAGCGGUGAAAUGCUUAGAGAUCACACAGAACACCGAUUGCGAAGGCAGCUUACCAAGCUGCGACUGACGUUGAGGCACGAAAGUGUGGGUAGCAAACAGGAUUAGAUACCCUGGUAGUC
rnacentral:rRNA from 1 species